rnacentral:tRNA from 1 species
GCCCAAGUGGUGGAAUUGGUAGACACGCUAUCUUGAGGGGGUAGUGACUUCGGUCGUGCCGGUUCAAGUCCGGCCUUGGGCACCA